AGAAUUUCCUUCCCCAUCCACCUCACUGAAGCUUGUCAAUGGGCAGUUUGACAAAUCUCCUGCUUUCUUCUAGGGGAUUUCCAGAGGCCUUACUUCACCCCUAGCAGCCUUCACUGCACGCCUCAGCAACACAAACUUAAGUAUUGGGGUGACUACUUGUGGUUAGCAGAGCAUCUCAGAUUCCUGGACUCAGCCUCCCCACCACAAAGUAACCCUGCUGCUGAUACACCAGCGCGUGAGCCAUGUGACCCGCGAGUGUUACUGCCAACAGUUGGCAGGCCCGGAACUUCCGGUUUGGUUCUGCGAAGCUUCAUAUGUCUCUGCACAGUGAGCUUAAAGAGAGUGCUUCUCUAUGCCAGAGUACAGGAAGCCUGCAGACAUUUCUAAUGCUCAAGGGCAGCAGCUUUGCAUGUUGCAGGGGACACACGUCCCACUGAGCACACCCUCCUACCUGGCUGCAGGUGGGCAAGGUGUGCCCAGAAGGGUCUGUGACCUUCUCUUUCUCCUCCAGUUUCUUCUGAGGCUCGCUGUCAUUUUUAAAGUAUUUUCUGGGUGGAGGCUUGGGUUUGGAGGAUGUCGGCUUUCUCACCAAAAUCUCAAAAGAUUUCUUCAGUCUCAGACUUCCCCCUGGUGACCCAGACAUGUAGCUGCUGUCACUGCUGGAUCGGACCAUGAUCUUCUGGGCCCUUCGAUGUGGGGGCGCUGAGUGCUUCUCACGUUCUUUCUCCAAGGCCCACAUGCCGUCGGACUGGUCAGACACAUAUGGAUUUUCCAGAACUGUGAGCCAGAAUAAACCUCGCUUCUUAUAAGUCGAUUGCCUCAGAUAAUCGCUACAGUGACAGAAUGCUGGUUAACACAACCACUGAAACAGAAAACAAAGAUACAAAGGACAGGAUUGUAUCGUGUUGUUGAUAUAAACUGUCCCGUCUCGUCUUAUGGCAACUUUGUACAAGCUAAAAUCAUCUGCAAGGAGGGAAUCUCAACUGAGAAAAUGCCUCCAGAAUAUCAAGUUAUAGGCAAACCUAAAGAGCAUUUUCUUAGUUAGUUAUUGA
rnacentral:lncRNA from 1 species